UACGAAGGGGGCAAGCGUUGUUCGGAAUUACUGGGCGUAAAGGGCGCGUAGGCGGCUUAUCAAGUCAGGCGUGAAAUUCCCGGGCUCAACCUGGGGGCUGCGCUUGAUACUGAUUGGCUUGAAUGCGGGAGAGGAUAGUGGAAUUCCCAGUGUAGAGGUGAAAUUCGUAGAUAUCGGGAGGAACAUCAGUGGCGAAGGCGGCCAUCUGGUCUAACACUGACACUGAGACACGAAAGCGUGGGGAGCAAACAGG
rnacentral:rRNA from 1 species